rnacentral:rRNA from 1 species
GGGUGAGUAAUGCCUAGGAAUCUGCCUGGUAGUGGGGGAUAACGUCCGGAAACGGGCGCUAAUACCGCAUACGUCCUGAGGGAGAAAGUGGGGGAUCUUCGGACCUCACGCUAUCAGAUGAGCCUAGGUCGGAUUAGCUAGUUGGUGGGGUAAAGGCCUACCAAGGCGACGAUCCGUAACUGGUCUGAGAGGAUGAUCAGUCACACUGGAACUGAGACACGGUCCAUACUCCUACGGGAGGCAGCAGUGGGGAAUAUUGGACAAUGGGCGAAAGCCUGAUCCAGCCAUGCCGCGUGUGUGAAGAAGGUCUUCGGAUUGUAAAGCACUUUAAGUUGGGAGGAAGGGCAGUAAGUUAAUACCUUGCUGUUUUGACGUUACCAACAUAAUAAGCACCGGCUAACUUCGUGCCAGCAACCGCGGUAAUACCAAGGGUGCAAGCGUUAAUCGGAAUUACUGGGCGUAAAGCGCGCGUACGUGGUUCAGCAAGUUGGAUGUGAAAUCCCCGGGCUCAACCUGGGAACUGCAUCCAAAACUACUGAGCUAGAGUACGGUAGAGGGUGGUGGAAUUUCCUGUGUAGCGGUGAAAUGCGUAGAUAUAGGAAGGAACACCAGUGGCGAAAGCGACCACCUGGACUGAUACUGACACUGA